rnacentral:rRNA from 1 species
UACGAGGGGGGCAAGCGUUGUUCGGAAUUACUGGGCGUUAAAGGGCUCGUAGGCGGCCAACUAAGUCAGACGUGAAAUCCCUCGGCUUAACCGGGGAACUGCAUCUGAUACUGGAUGGCUUGAGUUCGGGAGAGGGAUGCGGAAUUCCAGGUGUAGCGGUGAAAUGCGUAGAUAAUCAGGAGGAACACCGGUGGCGAAGGCGGGUCUCUGGGCCGAUGACUGACGCUGAGGAGCGAAAGCGUGGGGAGCGAAACAGG